rnacentral:misc_RNA from 1 species
UACGUAGGUGGCAAGCGUUGUCCGGAAUUAUUGGGCGUAAAGCGCGCGCAGGCGGUCCCUUAAGUCUGAUGUGAAAACCCACGGCUCAACCGUGGAGGGUCAUUGGAAACUGGGAGACUUGAGUACAGAAGAGGAGAGUGGAAUUCAAGGUGUAGCGGUGAAAUGCGUAGAUAUCAGGGGGAACACCGAUGGCGAAGGCAGGUCUCUGGGCCACACCUGACGCUGAGGAGCGAAAGCAUGGGGAGCGAACAGG